rnacentral:rRNA from 1 species
UACGUAGGUGGCAAGCGUUGUCCGGAAUUAUUGGGCGUAAAGCGCGCGCAGGCGGUCCUUUAAGUCUGAUGUGAAAGCCCACGGCUCAACCGUGGAGGGUCAUUGGAAACUGGGGGGCUUGAGUGCAGAAGAGGAGAGUGGAAUUCCACGUGUAGCGGUGAAAUGCGUAGAGAUGUGGAGGAACACCAGUGGCGAAGGCGACUCUCUGGUCUGUAACUGACGCUGAGGCGCGAAAGCGUGGGGAGCGAACAGG